rnacentral:rRNA from 1 species
AUUGAACGCUGGCGGCAGGCCUAACACAUGCAAGUCGAGCGGAGCGGCCGACGGGUGAGUAAUGCCUAUGUAUCUGCCUGGUUGUUGGGGAUGACUUCCUGAAACGGGCGCUAGUACCUCCUACUAGCAGUUAAGCCUAGGUCGGAUUCGCGAGUUGGUGGGGUAAAGGCCUACCAAGGCGACGAUCCGUCACUGGUCUGAGAGGAUGAUCAGUCACACUGGAACUGAGACACGGUCCAGACUCCUACGGGAGGCAGCAGUGGGGAAUAUUGGACAAUGGGCGAAAGCCUGAUCCAGCCAUGCCGCGUGUGUGAAGAAGGUCUUCGGAUUGUAAAGCACUUUAAGUUGGGAGGCGUUACCAACAGAAUAAGCACCGGCUAACUUCGUGCCAGCAGCCGCGGUAAUUC